UUAUCUUGAUACAGGAAUUAUAAUAAUAACUAUACAUUUAUUAUUGCCUCUAGGGCAUAAUUCCAACACAGAAAUGAACUCCACAUAAACCAUGGGUUGUCCAUACAUGGAGUUAUUGGUAUUGCUUGCAAAACCCAUGUACGACGCCCAUGCUCUUUCACCAGUAACCCGUCGCAGAACCCAACGAUUUCCUCCCUCAACCACGAAAGCCUCCAGGGUCAUUUUUUUUCAUUCAUCGCUGAACCAAACACCGAUCGGAUGCACCUUCUAACUGCCGCAUACUCUACAUUAACCAUGUCUUUCACUACAACCGUAGUCAUCCCGCACCUAGACACAUCCACACCAGAAGGACCCUCACGUACGAUGUGCCCAUAAAACACUAACAAAUUUUCCAUAGUACCUAACGAGCAGCCAUAUUUACAUCGUUAGUCCAUUAAAAAUCAUAUUUUUAUAUUUACAUUGUAAUAACAACAUCCAUUACUUAUCUUUUUUACAUAUAACAAUUUAACAACAUCCAUUACAUCUACGCAUAAUAAUUUAUAUUGUAUCAUUUAUCGUGACACUACAUCUAUAAAAUAAAUAGAAGAUGAAUUACAAUAUGUCAUUCAUACCUCUGGUUUAAAUAAGAAUAUCCUUCCGAAUAUAAUAUAUCACCAGAAUAAUAUCAGCGAAUUCCACCUAUUUUCAUAUGAACAAAAAUAUUACAUACAUAAUUAUUUCCGUACUACCAAAAGUCUAAAAAUACAUACUGCAUGCAUAUAUAUAUAUAUAUAUCACGAGUCAUAUUUCUACGGGGUUGACAAAUUAUCAAAUAAACAAAUAUAUUACACACGCGUCUUGCAUGUAAUAAUACUAAUGGAGCUAACAUAUUAUUACAUGUUUUUUACAAAAAUGCUAGUUACAUAGGCAUUUUUCCGGCUCCUUUCUAAAUACCAGUUGCAUGCAAACACGAACAAAUCAUCGGUAAUAUAUGAACAUAGUCGACCUAUUAUCACAUGAACACAAAUAUGAACAAAGUCUCAUACCUUGAUCUUCAACUUAGUAGUUCAUAUCGCAUGACAAAAUAGUUCCACAAAAGUGAUAAUACGCUCCCUAAGACAAAAGAAAACACAUACUUAGAAACUAAUCAAACAAAAUAAAAACAUCAUGCAUGCAAACACGACCAACACAAAUGGAAAGCUCUUACCUUGAUCUAUCUUUUCUUCAACUACAACGUCUUCCAAAUAGUUCCACAAAAGUGAUAAUACGCUCCCUAAGACAAAAGAAAAAACAUACUUAGAAACUAAUCAAACGAAAUAAAUACAUCAUGCAUGCAAACACAAGCAACAGAUAUGGAAAGCUCUUACCUUGAUCUAUCUUUUCUUCAACUACAACGUCUUCAAAAUCUAACUUUAAACCGUCCUAAAUCGCCACAUAAACAUUCAUACGGAGUAGCUCUUGAGAGAAAGAGAAGAGAGUGAGAAAGAGAAAGAGAAGAGAGUGACACGGGAGGCAACGGCAGGAGAAGAGAGUGAGAGAGGAGGCAGCGACGCGGUUCGCUUAUAAAGAAGAAGUUUCGCACUGUUUCGUCGGUGGAGAGCGGGAAAAAUUCCCACUGUUUCGUCGGUUCGAGCGGAAAAGGAGCCUAGGAAUCAGCGCAAUCAGCAACAGUGCCGGCCGCGCGGAAACAGUGCCCUGGCCGCCUGCUCCCGAGGCGGCAGGGCCCACCCUGCUUUGUCCGUUACGGACAGGAGUGGGCGGGAACGGGAUCCCGCGCUGGCCGCCUCAGCCGGUGGCGGCAGGCCCUACGGCCGCCUCGUGCGGUGGCGGCAGGGGCCACGUGCCGCCUGGCGCGCCUGCCGUCACCCGGGGUGGGGGUCUUUUUUUUCCUUUCCACUCGCAGGUGGUCUAUUUUGACAAUCUCAUUCGACAGAGGGUCCUUUUGGACAAAAAUU
rnacentral:lncRNA from 1 species